AUGAAACCCAUCUUCUCCAAGUGACACCAGGCAUUCCAGAAUAGCCCUGAGGUUAAAGCGACACCGAAUUUUUUUUUCCUUCUUAAGUUUUCUUCAAGUCUUUGGAAAAGGCUGAAGAUGAGUUUUUUCCCUGGAACUUCUGCCAUUCUCAUGGCCCUCUGCUCUACUAUACCACGACUUUCUUGAACCUACAGGAUAAAUAGUUUAUGCUCCCAUUCUGGGCUUACCACUGAAUGGCAUAUUCUGAAAGAAGUUGCAGCAAAGAGUGUAUGUAUAAUUUGUCUGCAAGCUGUCAGAUGGCUAGAUUGUAGAAAACCUAGAAGGUAUUUUCUGGGAAUGCUCUAAGAUACAGUUAUGGUCAUCUCAAAUUAUUGAGUGAGAACAUGCCAGUUACUAUA